rnacentral:lncRNA from 10 species
CCCACUGAGCACCUUGUGACCCCCACCUCUGCCCACCAGAGAACAACCCCCUUUGACUGUAAUUUUCCAUUACCUUCCCAAAUCCUAUAAAACGGCCCCACCCCUAUCUCCCUUUGCUGACUCUUUUCAGACUCAGCCCACCUGCACCCAGGUGAAAUAAACAGCUUUAUUGCUCACACAAAGCCUGUUUGGUGGUCUCUUCACACUGAUGUGCAUGAAAUUUGGUGCCGUGACUCGGAUGGGGGGACCUCCCUUGGGAGAUCAAUCCCCCGUCCUCCUCCUUUUUGCUCUGUGAGAAAGAUCCACCCAUGACCUCAGGUCCUCAGACCCAGCAGCCCAAGAAACAUCUCACCAAUUUCAAAUCUGGUAAGCGGACUCUUUUUACUCUCUUCUCCAACCUCCCUUCUCACUAUCCCUCAACCUCUUUCUCCUUUCAAUCUUGGUGCCACACUUCAAUCUCUCCCUUCUCUUAAUUUUAAUUCCUUUCAUUUUCUGGUAGAGACAAAGGAGACACGUUUUAUCCGUGGACCCAAAACUCCGGUGCCGGUCACGGACUGGGAAGGCAGACUUCCCUUGGUGUUUAAUCCUUGCAGGGACGCCUCUCUGAUAAUUCACCCACGUUUCAAAGGUGUCAGACCACUCAGGGACGCCUGCCUUGGUCCUUCAUCCUUAGCGGCAAGUCCCGCUUUUCUGGGGAAGGGGCAAGUACCCAAACUCCUUCUCUCCUUGUCUCUACCCCUUCUCUGCUUUCCUGGGGCAGGGGCAAGUACCCCUCAACCCCUUCUCCUUCACCCUUAGCGGCAAGUCCCACUUUCCUAGGGGGCAAGAACCCCCCAAUCGCUUAUUUCUGCACCCCAAUCCGUUAUUUCCGCACCCUGACCUCUUACCUCUGUGCCCCAAUCCCUUAUUUCCGUGCCCCAACCCCUUCUCUGCUUUUCUGGAGGGCAAGAACCCCCCACCCCUUCUCCGUGUCUCUACUCUUUUCUCUGGGCUUGCCUCCUUCACUAUAGGUAAGCUUCCACCUUCCAUUCCUCCUUCUUCUCCCUUGGCCUGUGUUCUCAAAAACUUAAAACCUCUUCAACUCACACCUGACCUAAAACGUAAAUGCCUUAUUUUCUUCUGCAAUGCCGCUUGACCCCAAUACCAACUCGACAGUAGUUCCAAAUAGCCAGAAAAUGGCACUUUGAAUUUUUCCAUCCUGCAAGAUCUAAAUAAUUCUUGUCGUAAAAUAGGCAAAUGGUCUGAGGUGCCUGACGUCCAGGCAUUCUUUUACACAUCAGUCCCUUCCUAGUCUCUGUGCCCAGUGCAACUCGUCCCAAAUCUUCCUUCUUUCCCUCCCGCCUGUCCCCUCAGUACCAACCCCAAGCGUCGCUGAGUCUUUCUAAUCUUCCUUUUCUACAGACCCAUCUGAUCUCUCUCUUCCUCCCCAGGCUGCUCCUCGCCAGGCCGAGCUAGGUCCCAAUUCUUCCUCAGCCUCUGCUCCUCCACCCUAUAAUCUUUUUAUCACCUCCCCUACUCACACCUGCUCCGGCUUACAGUUUCCUUCCGUGACUAGCCCUCCCACUCCUGCCCAGCAAUUUACUCUUAAAAAGGUGGCUGGAGCUAAAGGCAUAGUCAAGGUUAACGCUCCUUUUUCUUUAUCCCAAAUCAGAUAGCGUUUAGGCUCUUUUUCAUCACAUAUAAAAAUCCAGUUCAGUUCAUGACUUGUUCGGCAGCAACCCUGAGACACUUUACAGCCCUAGACCCUAAAAGGUCAAAAGGCCGUCUUAUUCUCAAAAUACAUUUUAUUACCCAAUCUGCUCCCGACAUUAAAUAAAACUCCAAAAAUUAAAUUCCGGCCCUUAAACCCCACAACAGGAUUUAAUUAACCUCACCUUCAAGGUGUACAAUAAUAGAAAAAAGUUGCAAUUCCUUGCCUCCACUGUGAGACAAACCCCAGCCACAUCUCCAGCACACAAGAACUUCCAAACGCCUGAACUGCAGCAGCCAGGCAUUCCUCCAGAACCUCCUCCCACAGGAGCUUGCUACACGUGCCGGAAAUCUGGCCACUGGGCCAAGGAAUGCCCGCAGCCCGGGAUUCCUCCUAAGCCGCGUCCCACCUGUGUGGGACCCCAAUGAAAAUUGGACUGUUCAACUCACCUGGCAGCCACUCCCAGAAACCCUGGAACUCUGGCCCAAGGCUCUCUGACUGACUCCUUCCCAGAUCUUCUUGGCUUAGCGGCUGAAGACUGACACUGCCCGAUCACCUCGGAAGCCCCCUAGACCAUCACGGCGGACGCCGAGCUUCAGCCAGCAAGAAGGCAGGCCCUCAGCUGAAUGGCCACAAGGAAAUAAAUUCUACCAACACUGUGAGAAAAUUUGGAUAUGGAAUCAUCCUCAGUCAAGCCAUCAGAUGAAAACACAGCCUGUCAAAUACCUUGAUUAUAGCCUUUUGAGACCCUAACCAGUCAGAGAGUUAACAGUACGCUUAUAUUGAGCAAAGAAGCAAUGCUACUCAACUUUUUAAAACACCUCUAUCUGGGCUUCCUCUAAGAAGAUAAUGGAACAAGGCUCUAUUUCACAAUCAAUAUUCUUGUUAGACGGCAUUACGACUUCAUGGAAUUCCGUUAAAAGAACCCCUCAGAAAAGUAACCAAACAAGAGU